CAAAACGAAAGACACAGAAAAACAAAAUAAACAACGAAAUAAACCCAACCUACAUCCAAAUAUACAAACAGAAUUCACAAAAAGAAAACAAGUAAGAGUUAUAUAUUAUAUACCCUUCAACAUGGUGUGGUAAAAACAACAGUUAGUACCAAAAAGUCCUCUUUCACAUUACUUACUUUGGUAGUUUGGUUGGUUUGUUUAAAUUUUAUCAAUUUUUUUGGUAGGAAAAUACAAUUGAUAUCUUAAAAAUUUAAUGUUGUGGAAAUUUCUAAUUUAUAUAUAAAUAUGUAUAAAUAUUUGGAAACCCUGUUUUUUAACGUCUUUAAAUGUUUACAAGAAAACAACGAAAUUAAUAAAGUGUCAGCGUAAUAGAGAUGUCAACAAAACAUUUGUCAAUUGUAUUGUAAAAAGUCGGAAAAAGUUAUGAACAGCAGAAAGCUUUCAACCACGGUGACAAACAUUUCUUGCUAUUGGUAAUUUUUAACGGUUUUUACCAAACUCUUAACACAAUUACAAUUAAUUGCUGCGCUCGUGUUGUUUCUUUUUUCUUUUUCUGGAAAUAAAAGGAAAUUAUUUUCAAGUUUAUAGUUUAAAGGCAACAGAUAAGUGCUUGGUAGAUAUGGAGGAAGAUGAUCCGGAAGUAUCAGCGAAACGUAAAGCGCUAACAAAAAAUGGGGAAAGCAAGGCAUUGAAGAACAUACAUGGUUAGGCGGUAAGGAACUCUGAGGAAGCCAAUGCAUCCACUAUUUCUGAUCGGUUAGGUGGGUUAACAGAAGAUAAAAGUAUUGAUGGAAAUUCACAGAAAGGUAAGAAAUUUUUGGAUUCAAAAUCGAGUUCUAAUAUGAAUGUGAACAAUCUACCCCGAAAAUCAUCCCGGUCCUUUCCAAAAAUGUAGGUUAUAAUACAUUCCGGUUCUCGUUUAAUAAUUUCUCAAACAAUUGUGUCACAAAUCCAAUUCUAAAGACUGCCCAAUUUAAGGCAUUCAUCCCAGACCGUUUCAUUGCUAUAUUUGUUGUAAUCAAAAACGUUCCUAUCUCCUUCACGGAUGAGUUUAUAAGAGAAGAACUACAAUUUGAAUGUACUGAUUUUGAGGUUUUCUCCGUUUUUCACUUUACGCGACUGGAAAUUAAGGAGGGUAAGGUAAUGUUUCUACCCACUCAAACAGUGAAGAUUCUCUUCAAAGGCGAGAAUAUCCUCAAGAGAGUUAGAAUGUGUGGUACAAUGGCGGAAGCGGAAUUGUAUAUUCCUCCACUACGACAAUGCAAAAACUGUUUCCGGCUAGGUCCCAUUGCUGACAGGUGUAAAUCGUUAAAAAGAUGUCUCAUAUGUGGUGAACAGAUUCCAUGCCAAGGAAAAAAAUGUGAAAACUGUAGAAAAAUUACAAAAUGUGUCCUCGAAUGCAACUCCCUCAAAUGUAUUCUAUAUAACUCUAAGGAUCACAUAUCGUCAGAUUCGCAUAAAUACGAAAAGUGGACUUCUGAAAAAUCAAUCCUAAUCUGUCCAAGAAAGAGGUUAUGGAGAAAUAUCCUUCCCACAAUUAUUAUGAAAUCUUAGGUGAAGAAGGCUAUGAGAAUGCAUUUCCUCCUCUAACAAGACAUAAUCAGGAUUCGGUUCAUGUAAAUCAAGAAAAUUAAAAAAGACUAACUAAAAUCCGAUAUAGCAAAGUGACCGCCUCGGUUCCUAAACGCAUCCAUGAACUAGAUAACCCUAUUAUCAUUCACCCUUCACAACCCACGUAUGAAUACCCUAAGUAUCACAAAGUAUCUGAAUUUGAAAAGCUAGUGAACAUUUUUUCUCAUAAAAUGGCUACCGUAUUAAAAUCCAACAAUUGUAUUGAGGGACUAGACAUCCUUAACAACUUUCAAGUAAGCAUACAAUCAGAACCUUCAGCAAUAAUUCGUCAAGACAGCAACAAAACUUAUGAAAUCAGUUUUAUACCUGCGCCCAUCUAUUAACAGUCAACUUCUAACAAGUAAAACCAACCAAAACAAACAAGCAAUCUCAAUUCUACACAUUUUAUUUUCGUCCUCAAACAGCCAAAAUUAUGAACAUUCUACAAUAUAACAUACAAAGUAUAAACAAAAACAAAAUCUUUUUGGAAUUCUCACCUAAUAAACUUCAAAUUGAUAUCUGUGUUCUUUCAAAAAUCUUUAACUUCGAUGAACGCAUUGCAUUCACGAAAAAUAUUAAGGUCAAACAAAUUCUGUUUAAUACCCCACUGGAUAUAGUAAUCUGUAAGACUCUAAAUCUAAAACACAACCUCACCAUCGUCUCAUCCCAACUCUAAAUCCUUCUAAUAAUAAAUGGUCCAGGGAAAACGAUGGGAAAUUUUUGCAACAUUUCAAAGCUCAAGUUACUAAUAUAUCCACUAUCCCAUUUAUUCCGAUCAGCAUCACCCCAGCCCCCAAAUUUUCUAUGGAUGAAUUUCUCGACACCCUGGAGGCUAAGAAAAAACCAUCUGCGACAGGUUACAGCAAAAUCUGUGAUUUUAAAUGCACUUAACCUUCAAUGGGAAAAAUGCCAUCUUUUUGAAGAGUCUAUCUGUAAAGGAACACCACCAAAUCAGCUCUUACGAACUUGUUUAGGUUUAACAAGAACAACUCCGGUUCAAGCAAUCUAUGCCUUAUCUGCGAUUAUGCCCCCUAAACAACGUGCCCAAUAUUUGGCUGGCAAAACCCAUCACGAAAAUUCAGCAGGGGAUUCAUAUAUACGAAAUUACAGGACACUGAAUCCACUCUCCGGAAAUAAUUCCUCUCCCAAAACUAAUAUUAAAAUUGACCUUAAACCGGAAAAAUGAUACACCAAAGGAGGUAAUAAAGGCUAUAUACACUGAAUGUAUAGGCCAAUUAAAGGGCGAAGGUUUCUGUAUCUGGGCUACUGAUGCCUCGGUUGGCUCAAACACUACAGGCUGUGCUGCGUGCAACAUUUUUUGCAAUCACAAUUUUCUGCUUACAACUGGGGAAAAAGUUUCAUCACUGACAGGUGAACUUCACGCUAUUGAUAAAGCCAUAUACAUUAUAAUUGAAGAAGGAAUUCUCAAUAAAGUCGAUAAGUCCUUAAUUUCGGAAAUCUGUUUAAUAUGGACCCCCUAACAUGUGGGCAUUAAACCAAAAGAAACAGCUGACUACUUCGCAAAAGCUCCCACUAAUGCCGGUAUGGACAUAAGAACAAUUUCCUCCUUAAAGGAUUGCUCAAGAUCAAUUUACAACAUGGGAAGGAUGGAUUGAUGGCUACGAAAAAUGUCGCAGAAAACGGGAAAUUUUUUUGCCAGCAUUUUCCCUACUCCACCCAGAAAACCAUGGUUUCAUAAUGUGCAUCUACACCCUCACAAGAUCAAACUGCUAAACCGUCUACUAACUGGACACACGAAAUCAAAAGAUUUUCUUAAACACAUGUCAAUAGAAACAUCGGACAUCUGUGAUUCAUGCAAUGUAAUUGAAGAUACAGGCCAUCUUAUUUUGACAUGUACCAAGUACAACACUAUCAGUCUAUAAUUUAAAUUAUUCCAAAAAAUUCAAGAACAUGCACCAAAUCAUAUCGAAAUUUGAAAUAAAUAACUUGAUGGAGCUUCUAAAAUUUAUUGAUGUUGCCAACAUAAAACUAUAACACUUGUCACUCAAACAAAGAAAACAGACACACAAGCAAUUGCUUUUUAAAAUACACGGAAGAAAACUAGCCCUGGUAUAUGAGUAUAACAAUAUACUCGACCCACCCUGUCAUUAAUGACAGACAUCGAAAUAAAAAAAGUUAUGAUAUCUCUCAAAAACUCCAAGACUGGCAACUAAUGAUGAAGAAGGUAGCCAAAUAAUAAAUGAUAAUGAACCAUCAACCAGUGGUCAAAUUUGCAAGACGAAGCGAAAAUUUAGGAGUUAGUGGCUUCAACUUUUUGAUUGGUUGGAAGAAAAAGAUGGAAGUUGUUUUUGCAUUCUAUGCUCCGAAACUUGCACUUAUUUAAAGAAUCAUGAAAAAACUGAUUUUCACAUAAAUAACUAUGAAGCAAAUAAAAUUUACAAAAUAUGUAAAUAUAAAAAAAAACAAAAAUUUAUGAACUAGUUUGGCAAGCUGAGUUCUAUUCCUGCUAACGGACUAUUUACCAGCAUUGGUUGCAGAAUGUUGUCCAGACUCCCAAAUAGCUGGACUUCUAAAAUUUGGACGUACAAAAGCAACCUUCCCUACAAAAAAUUUUCAUUAAUAGUGAACGAAACAACCGAUGUUUCGGUAAGAAAUGUUUGGUUCUAGUUGCUACAUUUGUCUGCGGUGCAAAAACUGUUCAUGAUAGAUUUCUAGCAUUGUUAGAACUAUCGAAGGCUGAUGCAGUUUCCAUUUUCCAGGUCAUAAUGAUUUCUUUUGAAUUGAACAACAUUCCAAUUAAUAAUUUAAUAGCCUGGCAUCAGAUGGAGCCAACGUUAUGGCAGUUUUGCAGCUGCAGAACGAAAAUUUUCACAAUUAAGUUUAAUAAAAACAAAACUUAGAAAUAAGCUAGAUAAAAGCACAAAACACAACAUAAUGAUGAUAUGUAAAGAAGUUACAUGUAAGUCUGGACCACAUAAUGUGUGGUCUGCAAAAAAAUUAUACCUAAAUAUUUCAAAUCAAAUUUUUGUUAUUUAAUGUAUAUUUUUAUUUAUGUUUAUUUUGUGCUAAAAAUGAAUGUGUUAGUUUUAUGUUAUUUUUAUAUACUAUGUAUGUAUAUGUUUUUUAUUACAUUUAUAUUUAUUAAAUGAAUUGUUUUACUUGUUUCUUUAAAAACACAGUCUAUGUGAUACAUAUGAAAUUCGUUUGUUAAUUUUAUCAAUAAAACGUUAAUUUUUCUUUGUGGCAACGCUUCUUACCUUGUUCAGACUCUACAUUCUUUAUUUUAUUUUACUAUGUUCAAUACAUUU